rnacentral:rRNA from 1 species
CAGUCGCCACGGGAAUACAGAGGGUGCGAGCGUUAAUCGGAUUUACUGGGCGUAAAGCGUGCGUAGGCGGCUUCUUAAGUCGGGUGUGAAAUCCCUGAGCUUAACUUAGGAAUUGCAUUCGAUACUGGGAAGCUAGAGUAUGGGAGAGGAUGGUAGAAUUCCAGGUGUAGCGGUGAAAUGCGUAGAGAUCUGGAGGAAUACCGAUGGCGAAGGCAGCCAUCUGGCCUAAUACUGACGCUGAGGUACGAAAGCAUGGGGAGCAAACAGGAUUAGAUACCCCGGUAGUCCCUGUCUCUUAUAC